rnacentral:lncRNA from 1 species
CCUGUGUGAGCACAGCCAGCAGCCCUUGCUGUGGCAGUGCUGGGCACUGUGCCCCAGCCCCGCUGCUCUGCUCAUGUCACGCUCACAUCUGUCGGGUGUCAGCUGAGUGUGAGGUAAUGUCUGGGCAAAAGCAUGCCAUGGAUCUAAUGCAAAAGACUUUAAAGUCCAUGGUCAGGAAUGGAGAAGGAAACAGAAUUCGAACAGCCCAGUGUGGAAAGCAGCUGUGUCGUGGAGGACUGGAUGGGAUGUCUGUGCCAAUGCAGGAGAGGACUGUGACCAGGACACUGUCCCCAGGCAUCUCUGCCUCGGCAGAUGGCCAGGGAUCAGGCUGCCUUCUGAAAUCAAGGGCAUUUUUCUGUUCAGCUGAGUAG